AUUUAGAGGAAGUAAAAGUCGUAACAAGGUUUCCGUAGGUGAACCUGCGGAAGGAUCAUUAACGAAAUCGGACUUCGGUCUGGUGACGUCUCUCUUGCUGUGCGCCUUUUGGCUGCACGCUUGGGAAUCCACACACCUGUGCACACUCGGUUGGCGGGCUUCGGCCCGCCUCUCGCCUACACUUACUUUGUAUGUCUCGAAUGUCUAUUAUCUUAUGAUAAAAAAAUACAACUUUCAGCAACGGAUCUCUUGGCUCUCGCAUCGAUGAAGAACGCAGCGAAAUGCGAUACGUAAUGUGAAUUGCAGAAUUCAGUGAAUCAUCGAAUCUUUGAACGCACCUUGCACCCCGUGGUUCUCCACGGGGUACGCCCGUUCGAGUGUCACGUAAACCAUCGCCUAAGCAAAGCUAGCUUUGCUCUGGCGGAUCUGGACGCCUGCCGUCGCUGGCUCGUCCGAAAUGCAUUAGCGAGGGUGGUCUCUCUAAACCGCUUGGCGUGAUAUUUCCUUCUCGCCUGUUGGUUCGGUCUAGGAGACGGCUCUGCUCCGAAUCCCGUCGCGUCGACGGAACAUUACAAAGUUUGACCUCGAAUCGGGUGGGACUACCCGCUGAACUUAAGCAUAUCAAUAAGCGGAGGA
rnacentral:rRNA from 1 species